AGAGUUUGAUCCUGGCUCAGGACGAACACUGGCGGCGUGCUUAACACAUGCAAGUCGAACGGUAAGGCCCCAGCUUGCUGGGGUACACGAGUGGCGAACGGGUGAGUAACACGUGGGUGACCUGCCCCGCACUUCGGGAUAAGCCUGGGAAACUGGGUCUAAUACCGGAUAGGACCGCACCGUGAGGGUGUGGUGGAAAGUUUUUCGGUGUGGGAUGGGCCCGCGGCCUAUCAGCUUGUUGGUGGGGUAAUGGCCUACCAAGGCGGCGACGGGUAGCCGGCCUGAGAGGGUGGACGGCCACAUUGGGACUGAGACACGGCCCAGACUCCUACGGGAGGCAGCAGUGGGGAAUAUUGCACAAUGGGCGGAAGCCUGAUGCAGCGACGCCGCGUGGGGGAUGAAGGCCUUCGGGUUGUAAACUCCUUUCACCAUCGACGAAGGUUUUCUGACGGUAGAUGGAGAAGAAGCACCGGCUAACUACGUGCCAGCAGCCGCGGUAAUACGUAGGGUGCGAGCGUUGUCCGGAAUUACUGGGCGUAAAGAGCUCGUAGGUGGUUUGUCGCGUCGUCUGUGAAAUUCCGGGGCUUAACUCCGGGCGUGCAGGCGAUACGGGCAUAACUUGAGUACUGUAGGGGAGACUGGAAUUCCUGGUGUAGCGGUGAAAUGCGCAGAUAUCAGGAGGAACACCGGUGGCGAAGGCGGGUCUCUGGGCAGUAACUGACGCUGAGGAGCGAAAGCAUGGGUAGCGAACAGGAUUAGAUACCCUGGUAGUCCAUGCCGUAAACGGUGGGCGCUAGGUGUAGGGGUCUUCCACGACUUCUGUGCCGUAGCUAACGCAUUAAGCGCCCCGCCUGGGGAGUACGGCCGCAAGGCUAAAACUCAAAGGAAUUGACGGGGGCCCGC
rnacentral:rRNA from 1 species